rnacentral:rRNA from 1 species
AUUGAACGCUGGCGGCAGGCCUAACACAUGCAAGUCGAGCGGAUGAAGGGAGCUUGCUCCUGGAUUCAGCGGCGGACGGGUGAGUAAUGCCUAGGAAUCUGCCUGGGAGUGGGGGAUAACGUCCGGAAACGGGCGCUAAUACCGCAUACGGCCUGAGGGGGAAAGUGGGGGAUCUUUGGACCUCCCGCUAUCAGAUGAGACUAGGUCGGAUUAGCUAGUUGGUGGGGUAAAGGCCUACCAAGGCGACGAUCCGUAACUGGUCUGAGAGGAUGAUCAGUCACACUGGAACUGAGACACGGUCCAGACUCCUACGGGAGGCAGCAGUGGGGAAUAUUGGACAAUGGGCGAAAGCCUGAUCCAGCCAUGCCGCGUGUGUGAAGAAGGUCUUCGGAUUGUAAAGCACUUUAAGUUGGGAGGAAGGGCAGUAAGUUAAUACCUUGCUGUUUUGACGUUACCAACAGAAUAAGCACCGGCUAACUUCGUG